rnacentral:tRNA from 1 species
AGGAUUAUAGUUAAUUAUAAUAUUUGAUUUGCAUUCAAAAGGUGUUGAAUUUUCAACUUAUCUU